rnacentral:tRNA from 1 species
AGGCUUGUAGCUCAGUGGUUAAGAGUUUAUGUUUCCUAAACAUAAAGUCAAAGGUUCGAAUCCUUUCAAGCCUA